rnacentral:rRNA from 1 species
GAGUUUGAUCCUGGCUCAGGAUGAACGCUAGCGGCAGGCUUAACACAUGCAAGUAGAACGGUAACAGAGAGAGCUUGCUCUCUGCUGACGAGUUGCGAACGGGUGCGUAACGCGUAUGCAACCUACCCAUAACAGGGGGAUAGCCCAUAGAAAUGUGGAUUAAUACCCCAUAACAUCAUUUUCUGGCAUCAGAAAAUGAUUAAAACUCCGGUGGUUAUGGAUGGGCAUGCGUGACAUUAGCUAGUUGGUGAGGUAACUGCUCACCAAGGCAACGAUGUCUAGGGGUUCUGAGAGGAUGAUCCCCCACACUGGUACUGAGACACGGACCAGACUCCUACGGGAGGCAGCAGUGAGGAAUAUUGCGCAAUGGAGGAAACUCUGACGCAGCCAUGCCGCGUGCAGGAAGACUGCCCUAUGGGUUGUAAACUGCUUUUAUAUAGGAAGAACUACAGCUACGUGUAGCUGUUUGACGGUACUAUACGAAUAAGGACCGGCUAACUCCGUGCCAGCAGCCGCGGUAAUACGGAGGGUCCAAGCGUUAUCCGGAUUUAUUGGGUUUAAGGGGUCCGUAGCGGGGUCAUUAAGUCAGUGGUGAAAUCCUACAGCUCAACUGUAGAACUGCCAUUGAAACUGAUGACCUUGAGUAUAAUUGAAGUGGGCGGAAUGUGUCAUGUAGCGGUGAAGUGCUUAGAUAUGCCACAGAACACCGAUUGCGAAGGCAGCUCACUAAGUUAUAACUGACGCUGAGGGACGAAAGCGUGGGUAGCGAACAGGAUUAGAUACCCUGGUAGUCCACGCCGUAAACGAUGUAUACUCGUUGCUGGCGAUACACAGCCAGUGACCAAGCGAAAGUAUUAAGUAUACACCUGGGGAGUACGCUCGCAGAGUGAAACUCAAAGGAAUUGACGGGGGCCCGCACAAGCGGUGGAGCAUGUGGUUUAUUCGAUGAUACGCGAGGAACCUUACCUGGGCUUAAAUGCAGAACGACAGGCUAUGAAAAUAGCUUUCUUCGACGUUUUGCAGGU